ensembl:lncRNA
CGUUAGUCGCUCAGUUGUGUCCAACUUCUUGUGACCCCAUGGACUGUAGCCCACCAGGCUCCUCUGUCCAGGUGAUUCUCCAGGCAAAAAUAGUGGAGUGGGUUGCCAUUGUCCUUCUGACCCAGGAUCUUCCUGACCCAGGGAUUGAAUCUGCUUAGCAGGCAGAUUCUUUACUGUCUGAGCCAUCAGGGAAGCCUAAGAGAUUUUUGAAAGGAAGCUUGUAUCAAAAAGACAGCUCUUACCAGAGAUAACUUUUUUCUAAUCUGAGAGACUUACCGGCCUGGGUAAUAUCUGAUGCCAACCAUCUGCUCUUCCCAUCUUCCUAUGAAUGGCCCUCAUCCUCCUCUGGCACCCCAGACCCCUAACCCUUUCCUCAGCUCAGGAUGGCAGCAAAGCCUCAAUUGGCCAACUGCCUUUGUAUCUUCUGUCUUUGUGGGGCUCCAGUAUGCACGUAAUUUGUUUUUCUCCUAUUAAUUUGUCAUCUGUCAACUUAAUUAUUACACCAGCCAAAGAAUCUAGAAUGGAGGAAAAGAAUCCUUUUCUUCCCCAGCAAUGAGGAGAUGAGCUUCUAGCACAAGGGAGGGAGGGGAAGGAGGAAGGAAGAAAAGACUGGGAUGAAAAAGAGGGAGAAGAGAAGAGAAAGAGGUGCCAGCAACUCAAUCAACAUUACUCCUUGAUUUCUAAAUCAGCACUUUUCUAUCACUCCUCCUCCCAAGCUCUACUUGAGCAAAUACGUGUGCUAAGUCGCUUCAGUCGUGUCUGACUCUUUGUGACCCCAUGGACUGUAGCCCACCAGGCUCCUCUGUCCAUGGGAUUUUCCAGGCAAGAAUAGUGGAGUGGGUUGUCAUGCCCUCCUCCAGGGGAUUUUCCUGACUCAGGGAUAGAACCCAGGUCUCCUGCAUCUCCUGCAUUGCAGGUGAAUUCAGUACCACUGAGCCACCGGGAAGCUGAGCAAAUAUAAAGAAGCAAAUUGUUUCAGAAAUCCUAGUUUCACUUUAUGUCUCCAUUGCUAAACCAGAGACAUAAGAGCAAGCCUGUUUGUUUCAUGAUUUUUAGGGCAUGAACAGAGGGAAGGAAGAAAUACUCUUGGCAGCCUACCGCUUUCUCUAAGGCCUUCGUAAUUUCCUGUUAAUUUAAGACCUGAACCUUUGCCAGAGGUAAUGGCUGGAGCUUUCGCUGCCAGUUUGAAUCAUGAGGACAAGAUGGAGGAAUAGUGAUCCAGAAUGAAACCUGUGUCUUCAAAGACCCAGUAAAACAGAGCUACAACAUCAGCCAUGAACUAUCCAUCUUUAAACUUCUACAACAGAG